UCUGGUAGUUAUGGCGAGAAGGUCACACCCGUUCCCAUCCCGAACACGGUAGUUAAGCUUCUCUGCGCCAAUGGUAGUUGG
rnacentral:rRNA from 1 species